GUUUACGGCCAUACCACAUUGAACUUGCCAGAUCUUGUCUGAUCUCGGAAGCUAAGCAGGGUCGGGCCUGGUUAGUACUUGGAUGGGAACAAUGGAGAAGGUCUGCCAAGUU
rnacentral:rRNA from 1 species